rnacentral:rRNA from 1 species
GACGAACGCUGGCGGCGUGCCUAAUACAUGCAAGUAGGACGCAGUUGCGAACGGGUGAGUAACGCGUAGGUAACUACCUAUUAGAGGGGGAUAACUAUUGGAAACGAUAGCUAAUACCGCAUACUAGUAGAUGGAUCUGCGUUGUAUUAGCUAGUAGGUAGGGUAAUGGCCUACCUAGGCAAAGAUACAUAACCGAGCUGGGAGGGUGAUCGGCCACACUGGGACUGAGACACGGCCCAGACUCCUACGGGGGGGAGCAGUAGGGAAUUGUUGGGAAUUGGGGGAACCCUGGCCGAGCAACGCCGGGUGAGUGGAGGAGGUUUUCGGAUCGGAAAGCUCUGUUGUUAAGGAAGCGGUACUUAACCAGAAAGGGACGGCUAACUACGUGCCAGCAGCCGCGGUAAUUC